UGGCUGGACGUUGUCAAAAGAAUGUCUAAACUUGUAUUCUGAAUGUGAUAACUAGUACCGAGAGGACAAUCAUGUACAGACCAGUCACAGUUGAGAGCCAGUGAUGAAGAUACCAAUGAUAAAUCCAAAGCAUUGGGUCGCCAUGUUGGAGAACCGAUAGUUGUUGCUUGCCCAUCAUUAAGGAGAACCAAAUUAUUAUCCUCAAUAACCUCUAGAAUAUUUCGACCACGCGGGCUGUCGGAACCACAGCCCCAACAAGUGUGAUGAGCGUUAAAAUCGCCGGCAAAUAUGAAAGGUCUAGGAAUAGACUUAACCAAUGAAUCAAAAUUAUUUUUGCUGAAGACUGGGUUAGAGUUUAAAGGACUAUAGAAACUAACUAUACAUAUAUCUUUAUUAUUAACUGUUAUUUUUACACAUACAUUUUGUAAGGAAUUAUCGAAAUAGGUGUUAAUUCUAGAAUAAAUAAUGCUUUUAUGUAUUAUAAUUGCAACACCAUUGUGUUUGUUACCACAAUCAUUCCUUUCAACAUUGUAAUUUUUAAUCUUAAAGUUUUGUUCAGGUUUUAACCAGGUUCCACUAAUUAUAGCAAUAUGAAUAUUGUGUGUAUAAAGAAAAUUAAUAAAUAUAUGUUUGUUACUAUUCAGACUUUGGGCAUUCCAUUGUAUAAUAUUUAAAGUUGAUAAAUCCAUUAUGAAGAUGAAGAGAAUUUAUUACUUAGCGUUGCUUUUAAAACUUCUUUAAUGGAAGUAGAAUUAAUAGGGGCAUCUUUAUUACUUAUUAUUUUAAUAAUUGUUUCAACUAAUGUACUUAUAAAUGUAUCCGAUUUCAUUAAAUUAUUAAUUUGCGUAUCUAAAGUACGAGCAGAAAGAGCUGGAAAUGCAUUGGAGUCAAAAAGUUCUGAAUAUGUGGCAUUUCUAGAUUUUAUUUUAUUUUCUUCAA